UGGUCAUUACCAAGGAGUUUUUAGAACAGUUUCUGAAUUGAUGUGGACAUCACUUUAAAGAAGAUGCCUCAUUAGGUUUGUCUUCGGCUAUUUUGAAAAUUA
rnacentral:snoRNA from 1 species